AUAUAUAUAUAUAUAUAUAGGUGAUGCCCUAAUCGACUAUCUCAAGCUCCAUAUCUAGAUCAGUACUCUAUUUUCCCCCCAUUAAUUUCCAAGAGGGAAAAAUGUGUCAUAUUUCUGAGAUGAUUAGUUUAUGGUGCCAUGUGAAUUAUGAUUAUUUGAAUGAUGGUAAUUCACAUUUUGAUCGCGUUAAUGUACCGGCUGCAUGGAUGGAAGGCGAUGACGACGACCACGAUGGUGAUUAUGAUUGUAUGUCAACAGCUUGCUUAUCAUAAUAUCCUAACUUUCCAUUUCCAAACCCUAAAACCCUAGUUAUUUCAUGGCUACAUAUUGUAAUAGUUUUUUGGGUAAUUUAUUAAGUCCUCCGAUAUAUCAUUCAGCCGCUUAAUUAGUUAGCUUUUCCUCCUAUCUUUUUAAGUGUACGUGGCAAAACAUUAUAAUGAAUAACUUCUUCUUUUUAUAACACCCAAAAAGAAUGCAUGCUAAUGUGUUCAUUUAAGAAAUGAUGGUACGUAGAUUAAUAUUCAAUUAAAACCAUUACAGCGUGGGGGAUUUUCAGUGACAAUGGUAUUUAAUUGAGAAUUUUUUUAAUUAAUUACUCGAGUAUAUAUACAUACAUAUAUAUGUAUGUAUGUAUGCUUCGGAGCUAUUUUUUAGACACAUAUAUGCAUGUUAACUGAAAAAUAAUUUAAUUGCGGUGACUAGAACACUAGCUGAUUAAUUCUCUUGGCCCAUCAAAUCAGGAGAAUAAAUGGUCUUAAUGUUACAAAAACGUGUAUAUAUACCACUAAUUAAUUAAGGUAAUUGUUCAAUUUAGUCAUGUACGUAUGUACCGUACGUACGUACGUACCUGUGUUGAUUUAUUUAGACAGACAAUGCAUCUACCCGUACAAAGUCAGUCUAUUUCUUUAGUUUGAACCCAAGUGAUCGAGACACCUAGCUAGCUAGUGGUAUAUAUUUAAUUAUGUUUUCGGUCCAUAUAAUGUAGUACAUGUAUUUGUGUGUGUAAAAAAAUUGUACAUUGCUAAAAUUAGUGUUUUGUAUUGAUUGAGGAGAGAAAUUUAUAAAAAGUACAUAAUUGAUUGAUGAAUUAAAGAAGGAAGAAGAACAUGUGAAUGAUUACUACAAUGACACGUGACAGAAUUCUUAGAAUUCGAAAAACUUGUUAGGGUAAUAAGGAUUCAGAGAGUUUUCUUGUUUCGGGUUGAGAGAGAAUGUUAAAGUCUCCUAAUCCUCCAAAAGGUUCAACAGUCCAAAGUUUGGUCCCCAUUCAUAUAUAGAAUGGAAGGAGUAUUUAUAGAAUUUUCUGAAACUUAAGUGGUCACAUAUUUUUAGGAAAAUUCCAGAAAUACCCUUUAAUCAUUAGAAUAAUGCUCAUAUUGUCAUAUCAUUCUAGCCACCAAUCCAAUCUCUCAAUCAAUUUCCAAAACGAGCCGUCUCCACGAGCCUUCUGCCUCAGGACACAUAGAGGUUUCUCUUGUGUCUAGCAUCUUUAUUUUUAAUUUUUUUCAUUUUUAUUUAAUUAAGUCAUGCGAACCCUAAUUUAUAUAUUUAAUGAGUUCGUAAAAUUCUAAUUAUAUUUUUAAUUCAAUUAAGUCAUAUAAACCUUAAUUUACACUUAGCGCACAAUGUGUAAUCAAGAAGUGGUCACAAACCAUAAUUAAUGGUUAAAACAUUUGUAGAAGAUCCGGUCUCAGCUAGACCUGGCAAAGAUGGUCCAGGCUCGCGGUCCGGCCCGGUCUGCCUGUCAAAAAUCGAGUUUUGGGUCGAAGUUUUCUAGCUCGCCAAAACUCGGGCCUUUUUGGCCCGGCCCGUGGAGGCCGGCUCAACCAAGUGGCCCGUGAUUUUUUUUUUUUAAAAUAAAAUGUUACUACUUGUGGAUUGUGAGACUUGAACACAAAACUUGUAAAUAAAUAAGAGUUCAAACCAACUAAGUUACAACAAUUAUUUGUUUUUAUUGCAAUCUUCAAUAUAUUUUAACUAUAAUUGAAAAUUAUAAUUAAGAUAUGUAGUUAAUGUAGAUAAUUAAUUAAUAAUACUAAUUUAUAAUACUAUUAAAAUUUUAAUUGAUUGAGAUAUGUAGUUAAUAAUUUAAAAGUAUAAAAUUAUUAAACUAACAAAUAACAAUUGUAGUACAUUUGGAAAGUAAAUCAAUCAUUAAUUCAUUAUCCAUUAAUUAUGCAUUCCCCCUACUUAUUUGGAAAGUAAAUCAAUCAAUAUCCCAAAUCAUGCCUUUAGAAUAAUAUCUAAAAUUAUAAUACUAUUAAAAUUUUAAUUGAUUGAGAUAUGUAGUUAAUUUAAGUAAUUAGAAUUAUUGUUUAUUAUAAAUUAUAAAUUAUUUUAUUAUUUUUAAUAUUUAUUAUUAUUACUAUUUUUGGUGUAUCAAGAUUUUGCAAAAAAAAAAAAUAUAAAAAAAAGCCCGCGGACCGACCCGACUCAGACCUAACAAAUCUAGCCUGCCAAUACCCGGACCUUUUCGGCCCGACUUGCGCUCGACCAGGCCCAACCCAACCCAACCCGCCCGUUUUCCAGGUUUAGUCCCAACCAACCUACUCCGUAAAAAUAUAAAGCCAACUUACGCGAUUACUUUUGAAUUUUCAUUUGUCUACCAGCAGCCAAAAGGGCGAAAUUUACAUCUUUACCACUUGUUACUAAUUGCCUACUAAUUAGUACUCCUUCCGUCCCACGAUAAAAGUUUUGGUUGAUUUUUUGUACUUAUUAAAAAAGAUAAUAAAAUGACAAAGUUGUCCAUAUUUAAUUGCAUAAUUUUUUACACAUUACUAAUAUAGAGAAUAUAAAUAUAACAAUUAAUAAUAAGGGUAUAAUAUGCAAAUUAUUGUAAAAAAUAGAUUAUUUAAGAUAAGUAGACAUUUAACUUGGGACUACCUAAAAUAGUAAUAAGGACUUUUAUAAUGGGACAUAGGGAGUAUAUUACAAUAAUUUGGAUCAAAUCUCAAAUUUUGAAUAAAUUUUAGGUCAAAUUUUAAGUUCGAAUCGAAUUAAAUUUAUUAAAACAAGAUUUUAAACCACUAAUUUAAUAAUAUCUUAAUGUGUCAUCUUAGCCCACAUAAUAAAUUUUUGGAUCAAACUUUAAGUCCGAAUUAAAUUAAAUUCAUCUAAAUAGGGUCUUUUGGUCAUCUUAGCUCAUCACAUACUCACCUAAAAGAUUAUGAUUGAAUGUACUAUUGUUAGUAAUUUUAUUCCUUAUAUAUACAUAAUUUUUUUCCAUAUCUUUCAAUAUAGAACUGAAGUGUUACAUAUAUUCUCUUGGUUCCAAACUUAAAUACAUUUGCAAGUUAACGAUUUAAGUAAAAAAAAUACUUUUCUAAUUUUAUCUGCUGACAUAAUAAUACUCCAUCAAUUAAGAAUAAAAAUAAAAUUUUAUAUCACUUUAUAGUCUAAAUAAAGAAAAUAUAUAUUUUUAAUUUUGAAGUGGACAAAUAAAAAAAUAGAUCUUUAAUUUUGAAACAUUGUUAUAAUUUACAUGGAAGUGAAUUUCCGGCGUGGCAUAGCCAGGUACACGUUACCAGCAUUGGGCCAUCCACACUCCCUACACAUCAGUCCACGCUCCUUUAGUGGGCUAACUUGUGUGAAAACAAAGUUCAACACAUAUAUGGGUAUGACCUCAAAUUCCCAUUAAUUCAAUAUCAACCCAAAACAUCAAAAAACCCUAGCUAGUUUUUCAAGGCAACACUCACUAUAUAUUUCCAAGAGAAAAAAUGUCUCUUAAUUUAUCAAAGAGUAACUCUGGAUUAUGGUGCAUGCAAGGGGCGAGCAGAAGGAGAUGAAGAUGAUGACGGAUAUGAGUAUAUAUGUCCCGGCUGCGUGUAUACAAGGUGGAUGUGGCGGCGACGACGACGAUGAUGAUGGUGAUUAUGACUAUGCUCCCGCGGCAUCCUUGGAGGGCGAUGACGAUGAUGAUGGUGGUUAUGAUUAUGCUCCUGCUGCAUGAUUAAUGGCUUAGAUUAAUUUUCAGUACCACUGCUACAUCUUAUCUAGACAGACUUCAAUGCUGACAGUACUAUGAUAUUUAACACAGGCGGCGUAAAAUGAAAAGGACAAAAAAGAAGUUUUUUUUAUUUUGCCAAAUCCCUAUUUUUUGUUGAGUGUAAAGUCUUGGUAUUAGUUGAAGGUUCUUGAUGAUGCAGUGGUGUCUCAGAGAUAAUCAUAUAUUAGGGGGUGCAGUGAUAUAAUGUCAGUUAUGCUGUAUUGAUUUAUAGAUAUUGGUCACUUGCUAUAUAUUAUAUUGCAAAUUAAUGAAUUAAAUUAUUAAAUCCUUUGAUUCAGUUGGGGAAAAACCAUGACAAUAGUCAAUAUGUAUUCAUUUUCCUAAGAAAGAUGACGAGCAACCGAU
rnacentral:lncRNA from 1 species